rnacentral:lncRNA from 1 species
GGGUUGGUGAGGACGUGAUGGAUGCUGAUUGGUUGAUUCAAACUGGUCAAAGCAAGGGCUGGCUCCUGAUUGGUUCCCUUAAGGCUCCCAUGAACCUUAUUCACAAAGAUGGCUAGAUACAUGGUCAAGGCUGCUUUUCCUUUACAGCUCAAAGACAGCCUGUCAUUGACCACGCCCUAGCUCUCCCUUAUCCACAAACAGUCACAAGAUAACUCAGGUUUGUCUUCUCUUGCGCCGUAAGUUUGCACAGCUUCAUUUCAGGUUGAUCCGGAACAAGUACGGUCGAUGGUACGGACCGCCCAUCCGUACCUCGCCCUAUUUUUGUACCAACUCCCAAUCUGACUCCAAAUGGUGUCUAAGUAUGCCUAAGUCCCUCCUGGACUUGACCCUAACUUUGCACACCUCAUUUGGAUACUUCUGGACACUCCUGAACACUCCUAAAGCCUUGAUAGACAAUCUCCGGAGGUCUUGCCCUAUUCUUGCUCAAGACCCAAACUCAACCCAACUCCUCCAUUGGCUCCAUUUCUUUCUUCAAGUCAACACUCCCCCUCAAGCUUGACUCUAGGUGAUCCUAAGCCAAGCUUGGAACCUUGAAGAACUCCCUCAUUAAAAACCUCACCAAGGAAAACCCUUUGGGACAAAACCUUGAUGAGGGAAAAAGAGUAGAGCCUUCAAGGCCUAGGGAUUGGCCAGUGAGCCUAUGUGCCUUAGUAUCACUGAGGUUUAGGCACAUAGGCUCUGGAUCACGGCCUCUUCACUUCACCACACCUUCUUAGACUCUUCUAUAGAACCGGCUUAGUGUCUCCCCCUUUCACCUGACUUCAUGCCAUCUUGAAAGGCUAGGAACGACCUGAUCCUCUCCAUUGAGUCUCCAAGUAAGGUACCUGAUACAUCAUUCCACAAGUGUAUCAGUUCUCAAGAGAUAAACCUAUCAUGAAUGUAUAUAAAGAGAUUGAUCAGGUUUACUCCCUUGUUUAAAUGUUGAGGAGUGGCUGCUCUUCACACACCACUUGAAUCCCUCACUUGCUGAGCUUAACAGCUCCUUCUCUUAUCAUGCAAGCUCAUCCACAAUUGUAGCUUGCGUUCAAUGUGAGCAGCAACCCAAAGACCUUGUCCUGCUCACGCCUCUCAUUUAGAAGCUCUGGAUCAACCGUGCUUGGUCUCAACAUCUCCAACUCAGACCACAGUGUCCUGAACCUCCCCAAGUGCUUAGUAAACUCCAUGUCAUCUUGGGUUAACUCGUUGAUUGCCUUCUUGACUUCAAACACUCGGUUCAGGUUAGAAACGUUUCCAUACACUUUCUUCAGAGUAUCCCACAGCUCCUUGGCUGUCUCACAGUAGCUAUAAGCAUCUAGGAUAGCCGGCUCCAAAGAGGCAUGAAGGACUGACAUUACCAUCAUGUCUUCUUGUUGCCACUUCUCCACAACACUCUCCUCGGAGCUCUCUGCAUCACCCUCCUGAGUAAUUGCCUUUGGAGCUUCACCAGAUGUGAUAUGCUUCCAGCUUCCCACAGAAGUCUUCACCAUCCUAGACCAGACUAGGUAGUUGCUUCCUUUGAAUGUCACCGCGACCUUCAUCUUCAUACCACUUUCCAUCUUGAACAGCUUGACGUCUAUAGCUUGAACAAUGCAAUGGCCUUGACUAACACAGGUCAUUGAGCAACAGGAUCAUCAGGUGGCUCACUUUGCUCCCCUCCUCAAGCUUGGAUUGAGUAUGGGUCCAAGCUUGAAGUGAGCCUCAAUGAGCCUUAAGAUCAGGAGCGCAACAUCUCAUAGAGUGCGCUUCAACCACUGAUCAACCCUUCCCUUUAUCUCCAAUGCCUUCUGGUCACCGGUCUCCUCUAGACUUAGGUGAUGACCACUCGCCUUGUGUAUCCACACACACACCACAGCGACCAUUCCCAAUGGGUAAAGUCUUCCUCUUCUGCUCGGAUUGGUGAUGGACAGAGAGCACAUCUUGUGAACCUGAAACAUCACUCAAACUCCAGCAAAGAUAAGACACAAGCAUUGGGAUCAAUCCUUCACGGAUCACCAAGACACACGCAAAGUACCUUGAGCUUUUGAACUCUCAAGAAACUCUCAAACACACUCACUUGUUCUCUUAAAGUUUUAAACUUGAAUCCUUAAGAGAAUCACUCACGAACUCAGAUUUCAAUCAACCUGGCUCUGAUACCAUAUGAGAUUUAAGGAUGUAAAUGAUUAUCUGAGUUUAGAAAGGAUUAUUAUGCAACAGAUUGAAACAAGCAUUAUCAAGUUCACAUCUUUGCAAGCAAUCUCUCUAAGUACAAGCAAGAUCAAAUCAGAUUCAAGACAAGCUACUUAGGCAAUCAACCCUGCCUUAAUCCGCAAUCAUAGACAUCCAUCUAUGUGCUCAAUGUUAAGGCAGCAACAAGAUGACAAUAUGCUGUGACCUUAAUCAGUUUCUAGCUCAUGUAUGCAAUAAGAUCAGCCAAUGCUUUCUAUUAUCCUAACACACAUCACUUAUAACUGAGGCAAAGCAAUAUUAAUCAUCAAUCAACAUCAGACAAUGCAAAACCUUAAGUGAUUUCAGUUUAAUGAAAGCUAAUAGGAUUUAGACAGUUUCUAACAUCCUAGCACAAUCAUAACCAAACCGGGUAAGCAUUUUAUUUCUCAACAUCAAACAAGACUCUUAAAGCAUCCUGGGACUGAACUAGACAAUAUAAUAUAGCAUUUCAUAUCAAGAACCCACGGAUUGCAACACUACACAACACAACACACAACCAGUUUCAAUCACAAGCUCAUAUCAAGAAGGUUUAGGAUUAGCUUACAACCAAGGAACCUGAGCUGGUUCCUUGAGCCUCCUUGGUUAUAGGUCACGAAUCUGAUGGGUAAGAGAGCUGGAUCGUCACCCAACACCCUCUCCUUGUGUUCAUAACCUUCUCCUUGAAACCACAACUCAAAAGGCUCCACCUUUCUUCACAGCUCCAAGUCACCAACUUCAGGAACAAGGGGAAAGCUUUCUUCUUGAAUGGUUUCAGCUUGGACCAGAGUUGAGACACACCUUUAAUGGACUGGAGAGAGGAGGCACGACCAUGAUAAACCUCCUUGGCUUCAUACACCUUCUUCUUGAAGAGAGAGAACCAAAAGGACAGAUCUUCAAUGGCUUGGAUUUGAGAUGAGACUAGGCUUGUGAUGUAUAUGCGGAAGCUGGAACCAAGUUCUGAUGAACCUGGCUCUGAUACCAUGUUAGGUUUUCAGAGCUCAGGCUGUGUGUGUGAGAAGAAGCCACUAAGGGCGAAAUGAGAGCUUGAACUGAAGAGAGAAAGGUCUGAUGAAGAACAGUAUGAACUUGGACAGAAACAAGAGAUUUAGAGAGAUUAAGAGAUUUAAGUAUAAGAAAGGGGUAGUUUGAGGGAUUCUUAUCCAAGAACACACUUUGUAUUAUGAAGGAGGAGGGGAAAUCCCCCUCUCUCUCUUGAGAGACACAAAAACGUCCAUACAUAGCUUAUUUAUAAGCUUUACACAUUGCAAACUCAUAAACCCUUAAUCUAAUGGAUAGAAAUGACUGAAUUGAAAUAGAUGGCUAGGAUGGAGUCUGGUGGGUUGGUGAGGACGUGAUGGAUGCUGAUUGGUUGAUUCAAACUGGUCAAAGCAAGGGCUGGCUCCUGAUUGGUUCCCUUAAGGCUCCCAUGAACCUUAUUCACAAAGAUGUCUAGAUACAUGGUCAAGGCUGCUUUUCCUUUACAGCUCAAAGACAGCCUGUCAUUGACCACGCCCUAGCUCUCCCUUAUCCACAAACAGUCACAAGAUAACUCAGGUUUGUCUUCUCUUGCGCCGUAAGUUUGCACAGCUUCAUUUCAGGUUGAUCCGGAACAAGUACGGUCGAUGGUACGGACCGCCCAUCCGUACCUCGCCCUAUUUUUGUACCAACUCCCAAUCUGACUCCAAAUGGUGUCUAAGUAUGUCUAAGUCCCUCCUGGACUUGACCCUAACUUUGCACACCUCAUUUGGAUACUUCUGGACACUCCUGAACACUCCUAAAGCCUUGAUAGACAAUCUCCGGAGGUCUUGCCCUAUUCUUGCUCAAGACCCAAACUCAACCCAACUCCUCCAUUGGCUCCAUUUCUUUCUUCAAGUCAACACUCCCCCUCAAGCUUGACUCUAGGUGAUCCUAAGCCAAGCUUGGAACCUUGAAGAACUCCCUCAUUAAAAACCUCACCAAGGAAAACCCUUUGGGACAAAACCUUGAUGAGGGAAAAAGAGUAGAGCCUUCAAGGCCUAGGGAUUGGCCAGUGAGCCUAUGUGCCUUAGUAUCACUGAGGUUUAGGCACAUAGGCUCUGGAUCACGGCCUCUUCACUUCACCACACCUUCUUAGACUCUUCUAUAGAACCGGCUUAGUGUCUCCCCCUU